UACGUAGGUGGCGAGCGUUGUCCGGAUUUACUGGGCGUAAAGAGCGCGCAGGCGGUCGUGCAAGUCGCGUGUGAAAGCCCCCGGCUCAACUGGGGAGGGUCACGCGAUACUGCUCGACUUGAAGGCAGGAGAGGGAAGUGGAAUUCCCGGUGUAGUGGUGAAAUGCGUAGAUAUCUGAAGGAACACCAGUGGCGAAGGCGGCUUUCUGGCCUAUUCUUGACGCUGAGGCGCGAAAGCUAGGGGAGCGAACGGG
rnacentral:rRNA from 1 species